rnacentral:rRNA from 1 species
AGAGUUUGAUCCUGGCUCAGAUUGAACGCUGGCGGCAGGCCUAACACAUGCAAGUCGAGCGGCAGCGGGAAAGUAGCUUGCUACUUUUGCCGGCGAGCGGCGGACGGGUGAGUAAUGCCUGGGAAAUUGCCCAGUCGAGGGGGAUAACAGUUGGAAACGACUGCUAAUACCGCAUACGCCCUACGGGGGAAAGCAGGGGACCUUCGGGCCUUGCGCGAUUGGAUAUGCCCAGGUGGGAUUAGCUAGUUGGUGAGGUAAUGGCUCACCAAGACCAUGAUGCAUAGCCGACCUGAGAGGGUGAUCGGCCACACUGGGACUGAGACACGGCCCAGACUCCUACGGGAGGCAGCAGUAGGGAAUCUUCGGCAAUGGACGGAAGUCUGACCGAGCAACGCCGCGUGAGUGAAGAAGGCCUUAGGGUUGUAAAGCACUUUCAGCGAGGAGGAAAGGUUGAUGCCUAAUACGUAUCAACUGUGACGUUACUCGCAGAAGAAGCACCGGCUAACUCCGUGCCAGCCGCCGCGGUAAUUC